UCCCAGACUCCUACGGGAGGCAGCAGUGGGGAAUAUUGCACAAUGGGCGCAAGCCUGAUGCAGCGACGCCGCGUGAGCGAAGAAGUAUUUCGGUAUGUAAAGCUCUCUCAGCAGGGAAGAAGAUGACGGUACCUGACUAAGAAGCUCCGGCUAAAUACGUGCCAGCAGCCGCGGUAAUACGUAUGGAGCAAGCGUUAUCCGGAAUUACUGGGUGUAAAGGGAGCGUAGACGGCAGUGCAAGUCUGGAGUGAAAGGCGGGGGCUCAACCCCCGGACUGCUCUGGAAACUGUAUGACUUGAGUGCAGGAGAGGUAAGCGGAAUUCCUAGUGUAGCGGUGAAAUGCGUAGAUAUUAGGAGGAACACCAGUGGCGAAGGCGGCUUACUGGACUGUAACUGACGUUGAGGCUCGAAAGCGUGGGGAGCAAACAGGAUUAGAUACCCCCGUAA
rnacentral:rRNA from 1 species